rnacentral:misc_RNA from 1 species
AAGUCGUAACAAGGUCUCCGUAGGUGAACCUGCGGAGGGAUCAUUAACAAAAACGAACCUGAAAAACAACUAAACAUUGUUUCUCAUUUUCAACAACACACAACGCGAACUAUGUGACUGACCGAUACAGCUCUGCUCUGUCGGCUUUUUUUCACUAACAACCCAUUUCACCAUUCAUUUUUUUUAACUUGAUUGAUAAAAAAAAGCCAAAACACAAAUAUCAAAAACUGAAAAGUUGGAAUUUAAUUUCUAAUGAAAAAUAAAAAAUUAAAGCACAACUCUUAGCAACGGAUAUCUUGGUUCUC